rnacentral:snRNA from 1 species
GUGCUCCCUUCAGUAGCACAUAUACUAAAAUUAGAAUGAUGCAGAGAAGAUUAACAUGGCCCCUGUGCAAGAAUGACAGGCAAAUUUGUGAAGUGUUCCAAUUUUUU